UACGUAGGGGGCAAGCGUUGUCCGGAAUUACUGGGCGUAAAGAGCGUGUAGGCGGCCACGCAGGUCCGUUGUGAAAACUGGAGGCUCAACCUCCAGCUGUCGACGGAAACCGUGUGGCUAGAGUCCGGAAGAGGAGAGUGGAAUUCCUGGUGUAGCGGUGAAAUGCGCAGAUAUCAGGAAGAACACCAAUGGCGAAGGCAGCUCUCUGGGACGGUACUGACGCUGAGACGCGAAAGCGUGGGGAGCGAACAGG
rnacentral:rRNA from 1 species